GUUAUCUUUUUCUAUGUAACUGACACUAUUGCUGGAGACACGGUGUGUGUGUGAUAUGUUUGUGUGUGUGUGUGUGUGUGUGUGUGUGUGUGUGUGUGUGUGAGUGUGUGUGUUCAGGGUCGGCAGCGCUGGAUGAAUCGGGGGUACAGGCAGACGUCUCUGAUGUGAUGUCUGUUCAGUAGCCAAGUGAGGAAACGCUCCAGACCCAGACCAUAACCGCCGUGAGGGCA